rnacentral:rRNA from 1 species
GACGAACGCUGGCGGCGUGCCUAAUACAUGCGAGUAGAACGCUGAAGGCGGAGCUUGCUUCUCUGGAUGAGUUGCGAACGGGUGAGUAACGCGUAGGUAACCUGCCUGGUAGCGGGGGAUAACUAUUGGAAACGAUAGCUAAUACCGCAUAAUAGUAGAUGUUGCAUGACAUUUGCCUAAAAGGUGCAAUUGCAUCACUACCAGAUGGACCUGCGUUGGAUUAGCUAGUUGGUGGGGUAACGGCUCACCAAGGCGACGAUACAUAGCCGACCUGAGAGGGUGAUCGGCCAAACUGGGACUGAGACACGGCCCAGACUCCUACGGGAGGCAGCAGUAGGGAAUCUUCGGCAAUGGACGGAAGUCUGACCGAGCAACGCCGCGUGAGUGAAGAAGGUUUUCGGAUCGUAAAGCUCUGUUGUAAGAGAAGAACGAGUGUGAGAGUGGAAAGUUCACACUGUGACGGUAUCUUACCAGAAAGGGACGGCUAACUACGUG